UCUCCAUCCUUUUAUGUCCAAAAUGCAGGGUUAACAGAUAUGUUGUAUAUGAGAAGAGCUUGAGCACCACUGAAUCUUGCCAAAUGACUUCAAUAAAAGAUGGCUCCUCAGAAUAUAUGACCCAGGAAGACCUGACCAGAAAUUCAAUGUUUUGGGCACACUGGCAAAAUGUGGUAACAGAAAGUUUUCUCUCCUGGCAUUCUCUUAUUCCAGAACAGUAAAAGUUAUUCAGAAUUACUCCUGGGGAGCGAGAGCCUGACGUACCAUCGAGCUUAUCAUACAAGAAACGUUUCCAGACCGACAAUACAGAAUGCAGGUCCCCACAGCUCAGCAUACAAGAAACAAGCUCCUGAUAAAUGCCUGCUGCUAAAUAACGCAUUUUGUCUGUAGAUCUUCCUGAUACCUUCAGGAACUGCAUGCACAGCCAGAUGUAAUAGACUCUGCAGGUGAAAAUUCUGAAAAUACUUAUCUGCAUACAAGCAUAGCUUCAGGUGCAUUCCCUACAGCUGCUGAUGCUUACAGAAAGAGAUCCACAUACCAUCUCAAUAGGUAUGAGAGCAAGCAGAAAUAGAGAAAACAGAGAUAAAGAAAACUUUGGCACAGACCAGGACCUGCUAUCCCAAGAUAGGCAAUGAAGGUACUGCAGCUUUCUCUGACACGCAGUCAAAAACUUGCAGAGAUGAGUUUGUGAAGCCCACACUUAAAUCACCAGUGAAUACCAACUCACCUGGAGAUUUUGCGUAUGAGGCAUGAAAGCAGGAGAAAUUAAUCAAAGCAUAUGAAGCCAGGAAGAAAUUGGAGAUGAUGGGAGCAAUGGUGUUCAACUGAGCUGCAAGACACAAUUCAGAUAUCUCCUGAGAUGUUGGCUCCCGCGAGAAUGCCAGUGGCAGCUGGGAAGAAGAUGGCAAACACUGAGAAAAAUCCUUCUCCACUUCUGAAAUCUGGUCCAAAGUUUUCUGCAAAUAUUGAUGCUGCAAAUACAGUUCUAAGCUUUUGUCACCGCAGAAUAUGAAAAGAGUCCUAUUCUAGACCUGAUUCCUACAUUCUGAGCUUUACCUUUGCUUCCCAUUCCAUGCCGGCAACAGAGAUGCCAAGAAGACAUACAACAGUUAUGGUACCUAUUAUUCUGAUAUCAUUGGACUCAUCUACCAUUAUUGUAUCACUCUCCUGGAAAGAAGAAAAUAUUUACUCGUCUUCUAAGGAGGUAGCUGAAAUGCAAGGGGUAUUAUAAAGAAUUAUACUGGAAGGAAUUAAGUUGAAGAUAUCCACCGGUCUGCAUCAUACUUAAAAAUAAGAGGAAGAGUGCCUCGUGCUUGUUUUGUCCAAGGAUGUCCAACCUGAAAGGCUCUGAAUAGGAAAGACCUGCUGAAAGGUAAGAAUGAAAAAAUUGAGAAGCCAGAUGCCACUCCUCAGUCUGCAUUUGGCAGGAACAUCUGAAAUGUACUCCAUAGA